rnacentral:rRNA from 1 species
GAUGAACGCUGGCGGCGUGCCUAAUACAUGCAAGUCGAGCGAACAGACCAGGAGCUUGCUCCUCUGACGUUAGCGGCGGACGGGUGCGUAACACGUGGAUAACCUACCUAUACGACUGGGAUACCUUCGGGAAACCGGAUCUACUACCGGAUAAUAUAUUGAACCGCAUUGUUCAAUAGUUGAAUAAGGUUUUUCUUUCACUUAUAGAUGAAUACGCGCCGCAUUAGCUAGUUGGUAAGGUAACGGCUUACCAACGCAACGAUGGGUAACCGACCCGAGAGGGAGAUCGGCCACACGGGAACUGAGAAAGGUCACACACACCGAGGGUGAGAAGCAGUAGGGAAUCUUACGCGAUGGGGGAAUGGCUGAUGGAGCAAAGCGGCGGGAGGGAUGAUGGUGUUAGGAUGGGAAAACUCUGUAAUUAGGAAAGAAGAAAUGUGUAAGUAACUAUGAACGUAUUGACGGUACCGAAUGAGAAAGCCACGGCUAACUCCGUG